rnacentral:rRNA from 1 species
GACGAACGCUGGCGGCGUGCUUAACACAUGCAAGUCGAACGGAAAGGCCCUGCUUUUGGGGGGUUCUCGAGUGGCGAAAGGGUGAGUAACACGUGAGUAACCUUCCCUUGAAUUUGGGAUAACUUCAGGAAACUGGGGCUAAUACCGGAUAGGAGAUCCUGCUGCAUGGUGGGGGUUGGAGAGUUUCGGCGGUGGGGGAUGUACUCGCGGCUUAUCAGCUUGUUGGUGGGGUAGUGGCUUACCAAGGCUUUGGCGGGUAGCCGGCCUGAGAGGGUGACCGGCCACAAUGGGACUGAGAUACGGCCCAGACUCCGACGGGAGGCAGCAGUGGGGAAUAUUGCACAAUGGGCGGAAGCCUGAUGCAGCAACGUCGCGUGCGGGAUGACGGCCUUCGGGUUGGAAAACGCUUUCGCCUGUGACGAAGCGUGAGUGACGGUAAUGGGUAAAGAAGCACCGGCUAACUACGUG